UACGUAGGGGGCAAGCGUUGUCCGGAAUUAUUGGGCGUAAAGAGCUCGUAGGCGGUCUGUCGCGUCGGCUGUGAAAACUCGGGGCUCAACUCCGAGCUUGCAGUCGAUACGGGCAGGCUAGAGUUCGGCAGGGGGAGACUGGAAUUCCUGGUGUAGCGGUGAAAUGCGCAGAUAUCAGGAGGAACACCGGUGGCGAAGGCGGGUCUCUGGGCCGAUACUGACGCUGAGGAGCGAAAGCGUGGGGAGCGAACAGG
rnacentral:rRNA from 1 species